rnacentral:tRNA from 1 species
GUGCUUGUAGUCUAAUGGUAGGACAUCUGGCUUCGAACCAGUUCGUGGGGGUUCGAUUCCUCCUGAGCAUU